CCUACGGGCGGCAGCAGUAGGGAAUAUUGCUCAAUGGGGGCAACCCUGAAGCAGCAACGCCGCGUGGAGGAUGAAGGUUUUCGGAUUGUAAACUCCUUUUGUUAGAGAAGAUAAUGACGGUAUCUGACGAAUAAGCACCGGCUAACUCCGUGCCAGCAGCCGCGGUAAUACGGAGGGUGCAAGCGUUACUCGGAAUCACUGGGCGUAAAGCGAGCGUAGGCGGGAUAGCAAGUCAGAUGUGAAAUCCUAUGGCUUAACCAUAGAACUGCAUUUGAAACUGUUAUUCUAGAGUAUGGGAGAGGUAGGUGGAAUUCGUGGUGUAGGGGUAAAAUGCGUAGAGAUCAAGAGGAAUACUCAUUGCGAAGGCGACCUGCUAGAACAUAACUGACGCUGAUGCGCAAAAGCGUGGGGAGCAAACAGGAUUAGAUACCCGAGUAGUC
rnacentral:rRNA from 1 species